UCUACUACUCAUUCACAAAGAAAAACAAAAACCCUAGAGGCCUAGACACUUACUCCAUCUAGCCGCUACUGUACGCACUCAACCCUCCUUCAAAAUUUUCUCAAAUCUCUUUUCUAUUAUUGAAGAAGGAAGUAGAGAUCAAGAUCGACAAUUUUGACAAAGAACAAGCUUUUAAUAUAUGGCAGAAUAACUUUGGAGAUGAAGAACCAAAAGAAAUCAUUCUUCCAAUUUCCUAAUACUGAGGAUAUAGGUGAAGAUUGCAGGAAGAAUUUGCAACAAAGACAAAGUGAAGAAAAGAAUGAUUCCUUGUAUUCAUUUUCUUUGGUUAUGUGAUAAAUUUGAUGAUGAUUGUAGUACUUUGUUUGAUGUUCUAAUUGUUUGUAGUGUAAGAAUUUGAAUUUGUUAAUACAUUUUUUCUGUUAGAUUUUAUA